AUCUAGCUGACGAGUCCUAAAUAGGAGGACACGGUUGUUCUGUAU
rnacentral:hammerhead_ribozyme from 1 species